CUUUCAGCCAGCACCAGCUUUUGCUCCACCAGGAAUGCUAUCAUCAUCCUGCUGUAGACUUCUAUCCACCUUCGCUUCUCCCAUGAUUCAUCAUCAAAUUCUACACAAAUCUACAGAAAAGAACCAGACUGGAGAACACAUCAAGUCAAUCGCUUCUGGCAGAACCGUAACCAGCCACAAAGCUCACAAUAGAGACCCCAUCAGCACCUGCUUCUUCUCCUCUGAGGACAAAGUCCCUAAGAGUUUUCUGCAGCAAGAACCUCCUCCUCACGACCAGCACGGCACAGGGCACAGCCCCGCGCCCAAAAAUGGACAAAGCUCCACCCCUGCCGAGAACCACAACAACAGGCUGAUAACAAAGUUUACGCUUUCAAGAAACAGUUAGAAACAUCCAAAGUUUCGUUUUGCUUGACAAGAGAGGUCACUAAAUUGCCAUCAAAAAAGAGGAAGAUGGUGAUGUUCUGGCUGUCACAGGACAGCCAUCGAAGUCUUCUGUAGAAACAAGCACAGGACGCCGCUGCUACAAUGGAGUUUUGUCCUUGGGGUCAAGCACUCAGUUCAUUCCCUAGCAGAGGAACCGCUUCCCUACGAGCAGCGACCAGCUCCCCUCGAGCCUCAGCACCAUUUUAACUCAUCGGGAGGCCUUCAGCGAGGAAAGCGACGGAAGGAGGAGAGAAACACAUAGGGCAGGGCGGUGAGCGCUUCCUCCUUCCUCUCCCGGCCGCCCGCCCCGCUUCUCCAAGCGGCUCCAGCCGGACCCCCGGACACCCACAGUUUAAAGCCAUUCCCAAUGAGAACCAAGAAGGAAAACAGAGAAUAUGACAUGAUCUGGGUGGUGCUGUUCAGCAGUGACCCAAACGACACACGUACUCCUCUACUGUAAGACUUGCCCACCAGAGCAUGUGGGAGGAAAAGACCAAAAGUGCAGAAAGUACCCAAGGCAAAGAAGCUGUUGACUCAUCCAGUUUACUGAAGUCUCACGGUGCUCAGUUUUGGCUUUCUACAGGGUUCCUUCCAUCACCAGAGAUGUCUGAGCUUCAAAAACUCCCAUUAGAGAAUGCUGCGGUAAUUCUGCCAUGUUGUGGUCUCAUCCAUCAUUUUCUCCAAGAAUCCAUUUCCACACUUGGGUUAAAUGUAUUUUUAAAGCCUUUCUCACCAAUUUGCUUUCACCAAUCAUUUGCUUGCUACAUUUAAACAAACACAUUCAUAUAUGAAAUCAAAAAGCUCAAAAAAUUCCUCAUGUGCCAUGAUGAGGAAAUUGCUGUCUACUCCAUGGAAAUCAGACAGUCCAAUUUCUUUUACAACUGUAGGGAAUCUCCAAUGAUUUCUAUCAAUGAGAUGAAUUUAGUAAUUGCUACAAUUUUCAGCAGGGAGAAACAAAAGAAAUAAAAGUGAAUAAUAAAAAAAUGAUAGAUCAGCAACUGUAUGCAGUCUGAAGAGCCACUCAUUAGCUAGCGCUGAAAGAAAAAAGAGGUAUGUUUGCUUCUCAGAUUUAAAUGUUUACUAUAUAAACCAGACCUGCAAGAUGGAAUUUAUGAUAUCAUAGAAAACAAGAUAGAUGUGAAACUGCCAAAUGAUUUGUUUCAUUGUAGACUUUAGGCUCGUGUAGCAGUAGCUGUACAAUUGACACAUCACACCAUGUAGGUGUUGCAUAACCUCAUUAUUUAAAGCCCUUAGAUUUUCUGCAGAGAGAACACUUUGCCUCAAAGAGUAGAUGAUUAAUACAUGCAGGAAGAGGGAUGUCAGGCUAUAAUGAAGCAAUAUUAGUCAAUGUAAUAGAUCAAGCUGUUGGUAGCACUCCAGUUGCCUAAUAGUAUUUUUUUUUCCAUUAGCAUCAGAAUAAAGGAAGGCUUUAAGGAGAGAUUGGAACGACAACAAUGUAAGUUUAGUGAAUGAGCAGCUCCCACAUGCAAAGAAUGGCAUGGAGGUUGGUCAAAGGUGUUUUAAAUUUAAUGUUUUGGGUAAGUCAUGGGCUGGAAUGCUGGAAAAACAGGAUUACAUAGUCCAUUAAUGUCCUUGAAAAUGAACUUCUAUAGGAAAGGAUGCUAAAAGAUUAUGUGAUCAAAGAGCAGCAUUCUGAAUGAAUAAAAUAAAAUAAAAUAAAAUAAAAU